UGGAAAGGAUGGUGGGCUCUGGCCUCCUGUGGCUGGCCUUGGUCUCCUGCAUUCUGACCCAGGCAUCUGCAGUGCAGCGAGGUAAGUAUUCUGCUCACCUGGCAUCUCAGAUGUCAAGGAAGACCUAGCAAGUGAGGAUAGAAGUGCAGAGAAGGUGGCUCAGACCCAUCCACUGUGGAGGACAAGUGUGAGAAGGCCUGCCGCCCCGAGGAGGAGUGCCUUGCCCUCAACAGCACCUGGGGCUGUUUCUGCAGACAGGACCUCAAUAGUUCUGAUGUCCACAGUUUGCAGCCUCAGCUAGACUGUGGGCCCAGGGAGAUCAAGGUGAAGGUGGACAAAUGUUUGCUGGGAGGCCUGGGUUUGGGGGAGGAGGUCAUUGCCUACCUGC
rnacentral:lncRNA from 1 species